CUUCAUCAUUGAAAUACAUAUCUCUUGUCUCCAUUUUUACGAGUUUUUCACCUCUGUUGACCUUAACAUCAUUGGAUUCACUAAAUUUUCCAGGUUUGCAAUUUUUUUCCUUUUUUUAUUUUUUAUUUUUAUCUCAACAACCAUCUCAACAAAGCCAUCAUUUUGCAAAUCACCAUUUUUCGGCAUGUCACCUUUUUCAACAAUGCUUUUCUUCAUGGGUAAAUCCACGGCCAUGUUUGCUCUCUUUGUUUUUUCAUCAAGUUCCUCACUUUACAAAUCGGACAAAAUAUCAAUUACAAUAGGAUCAUUUUUCUCUACAACUCAUUUUCACCCUCGCAUUCCGAAUUCGAGUCCUUAGAAUCCCUAGCUUUUUUCUCCAAAGAGUUUUGACUCAAUCCCCAAUCUAAAACCCUAUUUUUCUUCAAAUUAACAAAUCCACUUCCUAAAGUUCCCUCACCCAGGUCAUCCGUUCCUACGCGCCUCCCUAUACAGCCAACUAGCCAAGUAUGACAGCCUUAGGCUCUCUCACCCCCCACAAUCAACGAUUUGGUCAUUUGUAUUGAUGAACGU
rnacentral:lncRNA from 1 species